AGAGUUUGAUCCUGGCUCAGAUUGAACGCUGGCGGCAUGCCUUACACAUGCAAGUCGAACGGCAGCACGGGAGCAAUCCUGGUGGCGAGUGGCGAACGGGUGAGUAAUAUAUCGGAACGUGCCCAGUCGUGGGGGAUAACGCAGCGAAAGCUGUGCUAAUACCGCAUACGAUCUCUGGAUGAAAGCGGGGGACCGCAAGGCCUCGCGCGAUUGGAGCGGCCGAUAUCAGAUUAGCUAGUUGGUGGGGUAAAAGCCCACCAAGGCGACGAUCUGUAGCUGGUCUGAGAGGACGACCAGCCACACUGGAACUGAGACACGGUCCAGACUCCUACGGGAGGCAGCAGUGGGGAAUUUUGGACAAUGGGCGCAAGCCUGAUCCAGCAAUGCCGCGUGCAGGAUGAAAGGCCUUCGGGUUGUAAACUGCUUUUGUACGGAACGAAACGGCUUCUUUUAAUACAAGAGGCUAAUGACGGUACCGUAAGAAUAAGCACCGGCUAACUACGUGCCAGCAGCCGCGGUAAUACGUAGGGUGCGAGCGUUAAUCGGAAUUACUGGGCGUAAAGCGUGCGCAGGCGGUUAUAUAAGACAGAUGUGAAAUCCCCGGGCUCAACCUGGGACCUGCAUUUGUGACUGUAUAGCUAGAGUACGGUAGAGGGGGAUGGAAUUCCGCGUGUAGCAGUGAAAUGCGUAGAUAUGCGGAGGAACACCGAUGGCGAAGGCAAUCCCCUGGACCUGUACUGACGCUCAUGCACGAAAGCGUGGGGAGCAAACAGGAUUAGAUACCCUGGUAGUCCACGCCCUAAACGAUGUCAACUGGUUGUUGGGUCUUCACUGACUCAGUAACGAAGCUAACGCGUGAAGUUGACCGCCUGGGGAGUACGGCCGCAAGGUUG
rnacentral:rRNA from 1 species